UACAGAGGUGGCAAGCGUUGUUCGGAAUUACUGGGCGUAAAGGGCGCGUAGGCGGCCUUCUAAGUCAGACGUGAAAUCCCCCGGCUUAACCUGGGAACUGCGUCUGAUACUGGGAGGCUUGAGUAUGGGAGAGGGAUGUAGAAUUCCAGGUGUAGCGGUGAAAUGCGUAGAUAUCUGGAGGAAUACCGGUGGCGAAGGCGGCAGCCUGGACCAUAACUGACGCUGAGGCGCGAAAGCUAGGGGAGCAAACGGG
rnacentral:rRNA from 1 species